CUGGCCAAUUUUUCUCAUAAUGAUAAUUGCCGUCUGCAGAGCGGAGCACUUGAUCUUUUGUAAGAGAAUGAUGAGGGAUGGAGAAGCAAUCAUCCUUCUGAACAGAAGCAUCCACAAGUCGAAUUGUGAAGUUACUGUAAUUGAUUGCCUGGACAUAAUACUUUUCCAUGUUCAAGUAUAAAGUUGGACGUUCGUUGUUUUCACAAGCAAGUUCAAAACUUUUGUCGCCACAGCUCUCGGGAUCGGUAUUUAGUCGAAAAGGGUAGCUAAUAUUACGGAUAUUGCCACAAGAAGAAGGAGCGCAGUUCUUUGUAGCACUGCAGCAAUGGUGGGAGGAUAGGAUCAGUAGAAAAGGGAGGGCUGCAUAUGCACCGAAGAGGUGCCUUAAUGCUCUACUGAACAUUGAGAGAGAAACUUUCUUUGGGAAACCAAUUAAUGUGCUUUGUUACACUUUGCUCACGAGAUAUAAAUAUAUUAUGAGGACAAUACUCGUCUACAGACUACGUAUACCACCUUGGAUCAAUACGAAAGGACAAUACUCGUCUACAGACUACGUCUAUAGCCACAAAUUAAAGUCUUCGAGUUAUUGUCUUGGGCCCAUUCUCAUUAAAUUUAUGGGCCCAUUCUCAUUAAUUAUAUUUUUCAAAUUUCUAAAUGAGAUGCAGACGAGCCCAUUCAAUAUUUUUGAAAAUUCCAAAAUGAGAAGACUGCCUUGAAGUUUCCUAAGUCAAUAGGAGAAAAAAAAGCAAGGAAAGAAUGUGGUGCCAUUCAAUAUUUAAAUAUAAAUAUAGUAGGAGUAAAGUAGAAAUGCAAAACUGUAUAAAAACCACGUCGUUUUGCAAAACUCUAAGUGAAAACGACUACGUUUCUUUUUUUAAAAGGGUUACAAUCUGACACGUUGUCUUUAGCCUUUGGAAAUGAAAAUUCACAAUAUUUUUUUUUUUCAUAAAUAUAUUCUUUGUUUUGUUUGAAGGCAGGAGUAUUUGAAAAUUCACAAGAUUAUAGAUUUAACACAAACAAAUCUAUUUUUUCUACAUAAAUUGAAAAUCUGAAAGGCUCAGCCGAUUUUUGGAAAGUAUUAUUUUUUCAUGAAAUUUUCUAAUUUUUAACAAUUGAGUAUUUUAGGAAUUUUUUAUUUUCUUAAAUUUUUUCAUUAUUUUUUAAAAUAUUAAUAAAUUAUGUGGUCUUGAGAAUAUAUUGAUCCUCUCAUUAUUAGACUACAUGUCUAUUAAAUAUUGAAUAAUAUUUUUUUAAUUUUUUUAUUUAAAAAUACAUUAAAAUAAUAUCGUGCAUCUAUAAUUUUAAUACCAGUGUAUGUUAAAAUUAAAAAAAAAUUAACAAAAUAAAUUAUAACAUUUCGUGUGAAAACUUUAGGUUAAGUCCUAUGUACAUAUAACUAUUAAGCAAUUAAAUUAAGAUCCAACUUAAAGUUAAUAUAUUUAAAAUAAAAUAAUUAACUUAAAUUUUAUUUUUAAAAUGUUUAAUGUCAUCAACUAAUUAAUUAAUUAAAUUUUAAUAAAGUAUUAAUUAUAUAUAAAACAAAAAUAAGUACUUACUUAAUUUUAAGUAUUUAAAUUUAUUUUUUAUCUUUUUUUUAAGCUUAAAUAAUAAUUAAUACAUUAUUAAAAUUAAUAAUCACUAAGCUAUAUUAUCUUCAUCAUCUCAUGAUCAACGACCAAACUGAUAUGAAGAGUCAAUACAAUCAUUUGGUGGAUCUGAUAACUUUGCAUGAUUAGCUUUAUCAUCUUCUUCUGGCAUCUGAUGUGGGGUAAGAAAAGGCUUAGGAGGCAUUCGUAGGGAUUCAGCAUCCGAUUCAAUCAUCUCUACAACUUUAUGCAUUGAAGGACGAUCAAUAGGCUUCAACUGUAUGCACCACAAUGCCACAAUAAUCAUCUUCUUCGUAGUUUUCUUUUCAUGUUCCGUGGCAUCUUCUUGUACUUCUAUGUCCUUGCCUGCACUAACUUGGUCAUAAGCCCAUGAAGGAAAGUAAAUUUGGCUUGAAUGAUUUGCCAAUACAUUUAGGUUCUUCCUUCUUCCUACCAUUUCAAUCAAUAACAUCCCAAAACUAUAGACAUCUGCUUUGUAAGAGACACCUCCAAUAUUUUUAUAAAAUAGUUCAGGAGCCAUGUAUCUGAUUGUUCCUCUAGCGGCAGUAAGGGGCACAGUGUUAUUAUUUGUUAGGUACAAUUUGGCUAGUCCAAAAUCUGAGAUUUUCGGAACAAACUUAUCAUUAAGAAGAAUGUUAUGAGGCUUGAUAUCAAAAUGAAAGAUUUGUAUAUCACAACCUUGAUGUAGAUAUUCAAUGCCACGAGCCACUCCAAGAGAAAUCUCAUACAUUUUCUCAUUGCUUAGUGGGACGCUACCUUCCCUAGAAAAAAUGUACUUUUCAAGAGACCCAUUAGGCAUGAACUCAUAUAUAAGAGCACGCUUCGAUCCCUCAACAGUGAAGCCUAUAAGUUGCACGACAUUGACAUGGUGAAUUCUUCCAAUUGUGGCAACUUCGUUGAUAAAAGCUUGUCCAUUGGCUUUUGACUUGCCCAAUAUUUUAACCGCCGCAAAACGACCACUACGAAGCUUUCCCUUAUACACUAAGCCAAAGCCUCCUUCACCCAACUUGUCUUUAAAUCCGUUGGUUAUCUUCUUAAUCUCUGAGUAAGUGUACCUUAUCAGCAUGAGAUUAUUAUCAUGACUUUGCAAGAAUUUUUCAAUGUCUUCGUACAUGGAUAAAUGUCGUCUUCGCCAUUUAUAGAUCAGUAAAGUUAGGAGACAUGGAAGCCCGCAUGGGAGCAGUAGAACAUGAUAUGUCACUGUAUAAAGACAUUUGAAACAUAUAAAAACAUUUUACAAAUGCUUCAUUGAUUUCAGUCACGAGUAUAUGUGUGAUUAAUUUUUCAUUCUAAUUCUCCAAUUUCAAAAUUCGAUAGUCAUGCCUCUCAACACUCUAAUAUGGUACAAACAAUAAAGGAAACUAUAAAAGCUUUAUAUAUAUUAUCAUGCUAGGCACAUAGAAAAGCGGAUAACAUAAAAAAAAAACCUGAUUGUUUUUAUAAAAUAAGAUCAUUAACUAAAAAAAAAAAGUGUUAUCCUAAAGAAAAAGUAAAUACUUUCAAAAUACUCUGUGUUUAAUUACAACAUUUUCCAUCUAAUGCUUUAAAAUUAUUGUUUAUAAUUGAAAAAAAAAGUAGAAAGAAUAGAUGCAUUAAUUUGAUGCAAAAAUAAUAUAAAUUUAACCUAAAGUUAAAACUUGAAAUAGUAGGGAGUCAUUAGAAAUAUUUAAAUUUUAAGGAUUUAAUUUUUACAACUAAAUAAAUUUAAUGAAAAUAAGUAGAAGCUACUGGAUACAACCACAAUGAAAAUAAUAUAUAUUUAUUGUUUCACAAUAAGCUGAUAAAAGAAAAAUAAAAUACUUACCAAUAAGGACAAGUGUCACAGUGGAAAACAAUAUAAGAAAGCUUAGUACAAUUGAAGGGGUGGUCGUCCGAUUAUAACAAUAAUCUGCCAAAUAAAUAAAAAAUAAAAAAAUAAAAAAUGAUGAAUGAUUUAAUUAUCAUUCAUGUAGUUAUUUGACUAUAAGGGAGAAUCAAUUCAUUCAAAUUAAAAGCAUUAUAAAUUAUAAAAUAAUAGAAAGAUAAGAGACAGUCUAUUAGAUAUAAGAAGAUUAGAAGUGAUAUCUUAUUUCUUAUUUCCAUCAAGAAGAUUAAAUUAUUUUAAAAGGGUUGUAUUUUAUCAAAAUCUAAGAGUUUAGCUACCGAAAAAACUUCUAUUGCUAUGGGUAACUUGAAGGCGAACAUUGAUAUGUACGUCAUUGAAACUUGGAUUGAAAAAAAAAAACAUUUUAGGGUCUUUUAUUUAUUUUAUUAGAAAAAUAAAUAUUAGUACUCUUUCUGUAAAAUGAUAUAAUUACACAAAAUAAAUUAACUCACCCACAUUAGUUCGACACAAUAUCCAGUCGAUACCUAUAAUCACCAAGAAAAUAUGAAUCAGCGUGCAAAAUCUUGAUAAUUAAUUAAAAGGUAAAAAAAACAAAAACACUCAUUCGCGAAGAAAAUGCGGAGUAAAUGUAUCGUUUUGUAGAACAUGUAAGACCAUAAUAGUCCUCACCUUCAACAAAAAGGUAUACCAGCUUCCCUCCGGUAAAAUUCGCUACUGCAUUUCAAGAAAAAAGAAAAGGUCAACAGUAUUGAUAUUUACAAACUUAUAAUUUUAACUGAAGUGAAGAACAUUUAUUAAAAUAUAAAAUAAACCCUUAACACAUAAACGGAAACCAAGCAAUAUUGGAGCAUUUCAAUAGAUUAUCAUAAUUGAAAGACUUUACUUUCAGAAGAUUUCUAGUAACUUGAAAGAUCACCUUGUUUCUGAAAAUUGGAAGCUGUGUCAUUCAGACAUGUAGAUUUAAACCCUUAACACAUAAAAUAAAGCAAAUAUUGUAUGCAUAUUCAUAACACAGUACCUGAGGUAAGCUGAUACAUAUGGGGAGAGAGAGAGAGAGAGAGUACGUACUGUAUUGUUCUGAGAAACCGUUAUAUUGUAAACAAUAGUUGUUCUUCAUGGUGGCUUCAUCAAGGUUGCAGCGGUUCUCUGUGAUAUGACAACAGAAAGGGAACCAUGAAAGCUCGAACCCAUAUACCAAAACAUCAUGGACAUCUGUAUACGUCAUAUUUCUCAUAUAUUCUGGCACAGGAUAAAUCAAAUUUAUACGGCACAAGUCAGGUACAUCCUGGACGUUCCCAUCAACCAUGACAUAGGAAUGACCUUCCAUAUCGACACAGCUGGGAGAAGAAAUACUGCCAUUUUUGCAAGAAGAAGCAUCCAUAACAUAACCUGAAAUGUCUGGCCAAUUUAGCAUUUGAUUCUUGCAGCAUAAAAAAGUUAACACAUAAAUGUCUGGCCAAUUUAUAUCAUAAUAAUAAUUGCCGUCCACAUAAGAGCGGAGCAAAGAAAUGUCUUCCAUAUCUUUUGUAAGAGAAUGAUGAGGGAUGGAGAAGCAAUCAUCCUUCUGAACAGAAGCAUCCACAAGUCGAAUUGUGAAGUUACUGUAAUUGAUUGCCUGGACAUAAUACUUUUCCAUGUCCAAGUAUAAAGUUGGACGUAAGUUGUUUUCACAAGCAAGUUCAUGACUUUUUUCGCCACAGCUCUCGGGAUCGGUAUUUAGUCGAAAAGGGUAGCUAAUAUUACGGAUAUUGCCACAAGAAGAAGGAGCGCAGUUCUUUGUAGCACUGCAGCAAUGGUGGGAGGAUAGGAUCAGUAGAAAAGGGAGGGCUGCAUAUGCACCGAAGAGGUGCCUUAAUGCUCUACUGAACAUUGAGAGAGAAACUUUCUUU
rnacentral:lncRNA from 1 species